UACGAAGGGGGCUAGCGUUGUUCGGAAUCAUUGGGCGUAAAGGGCGCGUAGGCGGAUCUUUAAGUCGGGGGUGAAAGCCCAGGGCUCAACCCUGGAAUUGCCUUCGAUACUGGAGAUCUUGAGACCGGAAGAGGUAAGUGGAACUGCGAGUGUAGAGGUGAAAUUCGUAGAUAUUCGCAAGAACACCAGUGGCGAAGGCGGCUUACUGGUCCGGUUCUGACGCUGAGGCGCGAAAGCGUGGGGAGCAAACAGG
rnacentral:rRNA from 1 species